CCCGCACAAGCGGAGGAGCAUGUGGUUUAAUUCGAUGAUACGCGAGGAACCUUACCUGGGCUCGAACGUAAGAUGACUGUAGGUGAAAGCUUACAUCUCUUCGGAGCAUUUUACGAGGUGGUGCAUGGUUGUCGUCAGCUCGUGUCGUGAGAUGUUGGGUUAAGUCCCGCAACGAGCGCAACCCUUGUGUUUAGUUGCAAACAGGUCAAGCUGUGCACUCUAGACAGACUGCCGUGGACAACACGGAGGAAGGUGGGGAUGACGUCAAAUCAUCAUGCCCCUUAUGAUCUGGGCUACACACGUGCUACAAUGGCCGGUACAACGGGCAGCGAAGGAGCGAUCCGGAGCGAAUCCUAAAAAGCCGGUCCCAGUUCGGAUUGCAGGCUGAAACUCGCCUACAUGAAGUUGGAGUUGCUAGUAAUCGCGAAUCAGAAUGUCGCGGUGAAUGCGUUCCCGGGUCUU
rnacentral:rRNA from 1 species